GACAGACAGAUAGACAUUAUUUAUCCUCACUGCUGUCAUUCACACUCAUCUUUUCUGUUUCAGUGUGUUGAAAAUGUCUCCAGGCAGAACUGCCCCGUGUGUAUGGAGGAUAUUCACACGUCCAGAAUUGGAGCUCACGUUCUUCCGUGCGGCCAUCUUCUACACAAAACCUGCUUCGAUGACAUGGUCAGAACAGGGUGAG